ensembl:lncRNA
GCAAGGCCAAGGAUGUAGUCAAAGUGGGCAUUAAAUCAAGUGGCGUUGACAUCAGACAUAGUCCAGCUUCCAUCUUGAGGAAGCAUUUCAGUUGCAAGCAGUUUUCACCACUGCCUCUGCAAGACUUCUACACGACCUUCCCUGAACCACGGGAAGAUCCCUUUGACUACUGGCUUCGCCUUAACUGUGCUGCUGAUAUUGCUGCUGAGUGUCUCCUGGAACAGGCAGAAAAGACGGUAACUGCUGCCGGCGGACCAGGAAAUGCUCUAAACCUGUCCUUUAUGUUGCUGACCCAUUGUGCAGGCAAUAAAACCGCUGCAUCCAAUGCUGAGCGUCCGAGUCCAAUGCUUGAAGGAAACAAAACACAACGCAGGUUACAGUGGUGCCGUGAUCCCGGAUUCAACUGAUUGGUCGCUGACCAACAACCCUUACCGGAGUGCCUGUUACCAUUCCCACACUGGAGAUCAGCUGAGAACACUUGCGUAUUGUGUUAUAUUUGGGGAACUGUAGAAUAUUUGAAAUGUUAUGAGUAGAUAUUAAUGUGACUGUUUUAGUGAAC